UGGGGGAUAUUGCACAAUGGGCGAAAGCCUGAUGCAGCGACGCCGCGUGGGGGAUGAAGGCUUUCGGGUUGUAAACCUCUUUCGCUAUCGAACAAGGCCCGCUUAGGGUGGGUUGAGGGUAGGUGGAGAAGAAGCGCCGGCUAACUACGUGCCAGCAGCCGCGGUAAUACGUGGGGCGCGAGCGUUGUCCGGAAUUAUUGGGCGUAAAGGGCUUGUAGGCGGCUUGUUGCGCCUGCUGUGAAAACGCGGGGCUUAACUUCGCGCGUGCAGUGGGUACGGGCAGGCUUGAGUGUGGUAGGGGUGACUGGAAUUCCAGGUGUAGCGGUGGAAUGCGCAGAUAUCUGGAGGAACACCGAUGGCGAAGGCAGGUCACUGGGCCAUUACUGACGCUGAGGAGCGAAAGCAUGGGUAGCGAACAGG
rnacentral:rRNA from 1 species